rnacentral:rRNA from 1 species
AUUGAACGCUGGCGGCAUGCCCUACACAUGCAAGUCGAACGGCAGCACGGGUGCUUGCACCUGGUGGCGAGUGGCGAACGGGUGAGUAAUACAUCGGAACGCACCUUAUCGUGGGGGAUAACGCAGCGAAAGCUGUGCUAAUACCGCAUACGCCCUGAGGGGGAAAGCGGGGGAUCGCAAGACCUCGCGCGAUUAGAGCGGCCGAUGCCUGAUUAGCUUGUUGGUGGGGUAAAAGCCCACCAAGGCGACGAUCAGUAGCUGGUCUGAGAGGACGAUCAGCCACACUGGGACUGAGACACGGCCCAGACUCCUACGGGAGGCAGCAGUGGGGAAUUUUGGACAAUGGGGCAACCCUGAUCCAGCAAUGCCGCGUGAGUGAAGAAGGCCUUCGGGUUGUAAAGCUCUUUUGUCAGGGAAGAAACACCGGCUCUAACACAGUCCGGGAAUGACGGUACCUGAAGAAUAAGCACCGGCUAACUACGUGCCAGCAGCCGCCGUAA